rnacentral:misc_RNA from 1 species
UCUCCGUUGGUGAACCAGCGGAGGGAUCAUUACUGAGUUACCGCUCUACAACCCUUUGUGAACAUACCUAACUGUUGCUUCGGCGGGCAGAGGUCCCUCGCGGAUCUCUCCCGGCAACGCCCUCACGGGCGGAGCGCCCGCCGGAGGAUACCAAACUCUAUUUUAACGACGUUUCUUCUGAGUGGCACAAGCAAAAAAUUAAAACUUUUAACAACGGAUCUCUUGGUUCUG